rnacentral:rRNA from 1 species
AUCUGGAGUUAGCCGGUGCUUCUUCUGUCAGUAACGUCACACAUGACGGGUAUUAACUACCACCCUUUCCUCCUGACUGAAAGUNGCUUUACAACCCGAAGGGCCUUCUUCACACANCGCCGGCNNAUGGCUGCAUCAGGGCUUGCGCCCAUUGUGCAAUAUUCCCCACUGCUGCCUCCCGUAGGAGUCUGGGCCGUGUCUCAGUCCCAGUGUGGCUGAUCAUCCUCUCAAACCAGCUAGGGAUCGUCGCCUUGGUGAGCCAUUACCUCACCAACUAGCUAAUCCCACUUGGGCCAAUCUAAAGGCGAGAGCCGAAGCCCCCUUUGGUCCGUAGACAUUAUGCGGUAUUAGCAGUCGUUUCCAACUGUUGUCCCCCACCUCAAGGCAUGUUCCCAAGCAUUACUCACCCGUCCGCCGCUCGUCAGCAAAGUAGCAAGCUACUUUCUGUUACCGCUCGACUUGCAUGUGUUAGGCCUGCCGCCAGCGUUCAAUCUGAGCCAGGAUNAACCUCUA